UACGGGGGGGGCAAGCGUUGUUCGGAAUUACUGGGCGUAAAGGGCUCGUAGGCGGCCAACUAAGUCAGACGUGAAAUCCCUCGGCUUAACCGGGGAACUGCGUCUGAUACUGGUUGGCUUGAAUCCGGGAGAGGGAUGUGGAAUUCCAGGUGUAGCGGUGAAAUGCGUAGAUAUCUGGAGGAACACCGGUGGCGAAGGCGGCAUCCUGGACCGGUAUUGACGCUGAACAGCGAAAGCCAGGGGAGCAAACGGG
rnacentral:rRNA from 1 species